rnacentral:misc_RNA from 1 species
UGGGGGUCUGCUGCCGUGAGGCGGCUCCCCUCAAAUGCAUCGGUUGGACCUGCGGGUCGAACUCGACUGGGCGUUGUACCAUCCUCGCUCGACCGAGAAGUUCCCCUUUUGGUGUCCUCCCACGACUCGCCUGUGGAGCGGCGGUCAAUGUACUUUGAAAUUCUGACCUCAAAUCAGGUAGGACUACCCGCUGAACUUAA